CAUAAGGUGCCAGCGGAGUCCUAUAAGCAACAUCCGCUGAUCCCUGGUCGGCAUCGUUUAUGGUUGAGACUAGGACGGUAUCUGAUCGUCUUCGAGCCCCCAACUUUCGUUCUUGAUUAAUGAAAACAUCCUUGGCAAAUGCUUUCGCAGUAGUUAGUCUUCAAAUAAAUCCAAGAAUUUCACCUCUGACAAUUGAAUACUAAUGCCCCCAACUAUCCCUAUUAAUCAUUACGUCGAUCCUAGAAACCAACAAAAUAGAAUCAAACGUCCUAUUUCGUUAUUCCAUGCUAAUGUAUUCAAGCG
rnacentral:rRNA from 1 species